GUCCACGCCGUAAACGAUGAAUGCUAGCCGUUGGCGGGUUUACUCGUCAGUGGCGCAGCUAACGCUUUAAGCAUUCCGCCUGGGGAGUACGGUCGCAAGAUUAAAACUCAAAGGAAUUGACGGGGGCCCGCACAAGCGGUGGAGCAUGUGGUUUAAUUCGACGCAACGCGCAGAACCUUACCAGCCCUUGACAUGUCCCGUAUGGGUUUCAGAGAUGAGAUCCUUCAGUUCGGCUGGCGGGAACACAGGUGCUGCAUGGCUGUCGU
rnacentral:rRNA from 1 species